UUGCCCUAGUAACGGCGAGUGAAGCGGCAACAGCUCAAAUUUGAAAUCUGGCUUUCGGGCCCGAGUUGUAAUUUGUAGAGGAUGAUUUUGAUGCGGUGCCUUCCGAGUUCCCUGGAACGGGACGCCAUAGAGGGUGAGAGCCCCGUCUGGUUGGAUGCCAAAUCUCUGUAAAUCUCCUUCGACGAGUCGAGUAGUUUGGGAAUGCUGCUCUAAAUGGGAGGUAUAUGUCUUCUAAAGCUAAAUACCGGCCAGAGACCGAUAGCGCACAAGUAGAGUGAUCGAAAGAUGAAAAGCACUUUGAAAAGAGAGUUAAAAAGUACGUGAAAUUGUUGAAAGGGAAGCGUUUAUGACCAGACUUGGGCUUGGUUAAUCAUCUGGGGUUCUCUCCAGUGCACUUUUCCAGUCCAGGCCAGCAUCAGUUUUCGCCGGGGGAUAAAGGCUUCGGGAAUGUGGCUCCCCUCGGGGAGUGUUAUAGCCCGUUGUGUAAUACCCUGGCGGGGACUGAGGUUCGCGCUUCUGCAAGGAUGCUGGCGUAAUGGUCAUCAACGACCCGUCUUGAAACACGGACCAAGGAGUCGUCUUCGUAUGCGAGUGUUCGGGUGUCAAACCCCUACGCGUAAUGAAAGUGAACGCAGGUGAGAGCUUCGGCGCAUCAUCGACCGAUCCUGAUGUUCUCGGAUGGAUUUGAGUAAGAGCAUACGGGGCCGGACCCGAAAGAAGGUGAACUAUGCCUGUGUAGGGUGAAGCCAGAGGAAACUCUGGUGGAGGCUCGCAGCGGUUCUGACGUGCAAAUCGAUCGUCAAACAUGGGCAUGGGGGGCGAAAGACUAAUCGAACCUUCUAGUAGCUGGUUUCCGCCGAAG
rnacentral:rRNA from 1 species